AGCGAACGCUGGCGGCAGGCCUAACACAUGCAAGUCGAACGGAUCCUUCGGGAUUAGUGGCGGACGGGUGAGUAACACGUGGGAACGUUCCCUUUGGUUCGGAACAACUCAGGGAAACUUGAGCUAAUACCGGAUGUGCCCUUCGGGGGAAAGAUUUAUCGCCAUUGGAGCGGCCCGCGUCUGAUUAGCUAGUUGGUGAGGUAACGGCCCAUCAAGGCGACGAUCAGUAGCUGGUCUGGGAGGAUGAUCAGCCACCCUGGGACUGAGACACGGCCCAGACUCCUACGGGAGGCAGCAGUGGGGAAUCUUGCGCAAUGGGCGAAAGCCUGACGCAGCCAUGCCGCGUGAAUGAUGAAGGUCUUAGGAUUGUAAAAUUCUUUCAGCGGGGACGAUAAUGACGGUACCCGCAGAAGAAGCUCCGGCUAACUUCGUG
rnacentral:rRNA from 1 species